AGCAGCCGCGGUAAUUCCAGCUCCAAUAGCGUAUAUUAAAGUUGUUGCAGUUAAAAAGCUCGUAGUUGAAUUUUGGGUUUGGCCAAUUGGUCCGUUCUUGUAACGAGUACUGGUUGGUUGGGCCUCACCGCCUGGUGAUACGUAAUGUCCUUUAUUGGGUGUUGCGAGUAGCCAGGACCUUUACCUUGAAAAAUUAGAGUGUUUAAAGCAGGCUUAUGCCGGAAUACAUUAGCAUGGAAUAAUAGAAUAGGACGAUGAUUCUAUUUUGUUGGUUUCUAGGAGCAUCGUAAUGAUUAAUAGGGAUAGUUGGGGGCAUUAGUAUUCAAUUGUCAGAGGUGAAAUUCUUGGAUUUAUUGAAGACUAACUACUGCGAAAGCAUUUGCCAAGGAUGUUUUCAUUAAUCAAGAACGAAAGUUAGGGGAUCGAAGACGAUCAGAUACCGUCGUAGUCUUAACCAUAAACUAUGCCGACUAGGGAUCGGGCGAUGUUGUUUCAAUGACUCG
rnacentral:rRNA from 1 species